rnacentral:rRNA from 1 species
UACGUAGGGUGCGAGCGUUAAUCGGAAUUACUGGGCGUAAAGCGCACGUAGGCGGCUUUGUAAGUUAGAGGUGAAAGCCCGGAGCUCAACUCCGGAACUGCCUUUAAGACUGCAUCGCUUGAAUCCAGGAGAGGUGAGUGGAAUUCCGAGUGUAGAGGUGAAAUUCGUAGAUAUUCGGAAGAACACCAGUGGCGAAGGCGGCUCACUGGACUGGUAUUGACGCUGAGGUGCGAAAGCGUGGGGAGCAAACAGG